UGGGGAAUAUUGGACAAUGGGCGCAAGCCUGAUCCAGCAAUGCCGCGUGUGUGAAGAAGGCCUGCGGGUUGUAAAGCACUUUCAGUGGGGAGGAAGGCCUCGGCGUUAAUAUCGUCGAGGAUUGACGUUACCUACAGAAGAAGCACCGGCUAACUCUGUGCCAGCAGCCGCGGUAAUACAGAGGGUGCAAGCGUUAAUCGGAAUUACUGGGCGUAAAGGGCGCGUAGGUGGUUAAUUAAGUCAGAUGUGAAAUCCCCGGGCUUAACCUGGGAAUUGCAUUUGAAACUGAUUUGCUAGAGUACGGGAGAGGGAAGGGGAAUUUCCGGUGUAGCGGUGAAAUGCGUAGAUAUCGGAAGGAACACCAGUGGCGAAGGCGACUUCCUGGCCCGCUACUGACACUGAGGCGCGAAAGCGUGGGGAGCGAACA
rnacentral:rRNA from 1 species